AACGCGAAGAACCUUACCUGGGUUGAACUACGCAGGAAAAGCCGUAGAGAUACGGUGUCCGCAAGGGCCUGCGAUAGGUGGUGCAUGGCUGUCGUCAGCUCGUGUCGUGAGAUGUUGGGUUAAGUCCCGCAACGAGCGCAACCCUUGUCCUAUGUUGCCAGCGGGUAAUGCCGGGGACUCGUAGGAGACUGCCGGGGUCAACUCGGAGGAAGGUGGGGAUGACGUCAAGUCAUCAUGCCCCUUACGUCCAGGGCUGCACACAUGCUACAAUGGCCGGUACAAAGGGCUGCUAUUCCGCGAGGAUGAGCGAAUCCCAAAAAGCCGGUCUCAGUUCGGAUCGCAGUCUGCAACUCGACUGCGUGAAGUCGGAGUCGCUAGUAAUCCCGGAUCAGCAACGCCGGGGUGAAUACGUUCCCGGGCCUUGUA
rnacentral:rRNA from 1 species